GACGAACGCUGGCGGCGUGCCUAAUACAUGCAAGUCGAGCGAGUCUGCCUUGAAGAUCGGAGUGCUUGCACUCUGUGAAACAAGAUACAGGCUAGCGGCGGACGGGUGAGUAACACGUGGGUAACCUGCCCAAGAGAUCGGGAUAACACCUGGAAACAGAUGCUAAUACCGGAUAACAACAGAUGAUGCCUAUCAACUGUUUAAAAGAUGGUUCUGCUAUCACUCUUGGAUGGACCUGCGGUGCAUUAGCUAGUUGGUAGGGUAACGGCCUACCAAGGCGAUGAUGCAUAGCCGAGUUGAGAGACUGAUCGGCCACAUUGGGACUGAGACACGGCCCAAACUCCUACGGGAGGCAGCAGUAGGGAAUCUUCCACAAUGGACGCAAGUCUGAUGGAGCAACGCCGCGUGAGUGAAGAAGGGUUUCGGCUCGUAAAGCUCUGUUGUUGGUGAAGAAGGACAGGGGUAGUAACUGACCUUUGUUGACGUAAUCAAUAGAAGUCAC
rnacentral:rRNA from 1 species